GGGAAGCAUCCAAAGCUGAGAGAUGUUUCCUUAUACAACCUUCAAACAGAAGACCUCUUUAGUUUCCAGCUUGUUCUACUAAAGCAAGUUAUGCACUUGUCAAAUUACCAGAGACAUGA